rnacentral:lncRNA from 1 species
UCAGGCUCCAUCUCGUAGGACUCUUGUUAGAGAUAUUUAUCAGUCGUAUUUAGAUGAAAAAUUGAAAUUGAGAGAUGCCUUUUCUUUUCACCGUCCAAGGGUUUCACUUACAACUGAUACUUGGACUUCUAUUCAGAAUAUUAAUUACAUGGCUCUUACAGCACACUACAUUGAUCUUGAUUGGACGCUUAAUAAGCACAUUUUGAGUUUUUGUGUUGUUCUAAAUCAUAAGGGAGAAACAAUUGGAAAAAUUAUUGAGUCUUGUUUACAUGAUUGAGGUAUAGAGAAAAUUUUUGCAAUCACUAUUGAUAAUGCAAGCUCCAAUGACACAGCCAUUUCUUAUCUUAGGGGAAAGGUAGUUUCUUGGGGUAGUGAUGGAUGUGUUCUAGAUGGAAGGUAUUUGCACUUGAGAUGUUGUGCGCACAUCAUCAAUUUGAUUGUUGUUGAAGGCUUGAGGGAAGCACAUAACUCCAUUGUGAAUAUUCGCAAUGCAAUCAAAUAUGUGAAAUCUUCUCCCUCUAGGUAUGAAAAAUUGAACGAGUAUGCAAGGAAAGAGAAGAUUGAUUGCAAGUCUAUUGUGUUUUUGGAUAUCCCAACUAGGUGGAAUUCUACCUAUUUGAUGUUGGAAACGGCAUUGAAAUUUGAAAAAGCUUUCGAUAGGUUAGAAGAAGAGGAUGCUCAGUAUUUUGCAUUACCUUUGAGAUGAUGAUAAUGGAAGAAGGAAGGGUCGACCUCCGUCAAAUUUAGAUUGGGAAAGUGCAUAUGUUUUUGUUAAAUUUCUUGAAAAUUUCUUCACUGUGACUUUGAAGUUUAGUGCUUGUGCUUAUCUUCAUGAAAUUUGUAAUAUUGUAAUCGAAUUGGAUGAAUGGAAACUAAGGGGAAAUUAUUUGUUAGGUAAAAUGGCGGCUAAUAUGAAGAAGAAGUUUGAUAAGUAUUGGAGU